UUUUUGGCGAUGAAUGGAAUUAGUACAUGUAAGCUGGCUCAGAGAGGACAUUAUAUGGUGUGAGGUGUCUGCUAUGAACUGCAUGGAACCGGUCCUGGAGCCUCUGCAUGAAAAUGCAGCGUCUGACCAGCGUUAAUGGAGAAUGGAGAGAACUGUGCUGUCUGAUAUUUGCAACGUAGCUACAGUUAAUUUAGGGUGGUACCGCCGGAGCUUUCGGUCCCUGAU
rnacentral:ncRNA from 1 species